GGGGAUGACUGGUUUCGACUUGGAACGGUAGUUCUAGGAGAAGCGGGCCGAGGACUCAGGGUUAUCUCGUUAACGAUCCUUGAAACCAAUAAGUGCCAACAAUUCGCGCACUGACUUCGCUCUGGCUGCCUGAUCAGCUAACGAAGGGUCAGCCUAGAGGUGCCUUCACUCUAGUGUCUGGUCUAAUUUUGUAAGGCUGACUGCCGCAUCUUUGUCCUAGGGAUGCGAGCAGGACAUUCUUAGGACUGGGCUUGUUCAUGACGCGCUUAGAGAAGCAUGAGAGCCAAGUAGAACACCAACGUAAGCUGCGCCCGGAGAAUGCUUAGUGCACCUUUCGAGGACGGGGGUUCGAUUCCCCCCAUCUCCACUC
rnacentral:tmRNA from 1 species